ensembl:lncRNA
GAAAUUCACAGAGAAACUCGCGGAUUCUUCCACUGAUCACUGCAGCACACCUGCACCAGGGUAAACCUCCGCCUAACCCAGCCCUGCUUUACAGGGUCAUGAGGAGGUGGGGCCUGUCCCAGAUGUCUUAGGGAGGAAGCCGGAGUACCCAGAGAGAAUCCACAAACUCCGGGAGAACAUGCAAACUCCACACAGAAAGACCCGGGCCUGAUGGUGGAAUUGAGCUCAAGACCUUUCUUGCUGUGAGGCAACAGUGCUAACCACCAAAAUCUACUCAUAUCAUGGUAAUUUUAAAGUAAAGGAAAAAGUGACUCUGACAUUUAGAGAAAUACAAGAUCUUGUCUAAUUUCACUUUGAAGUUUAG